AGGCCGGGCCAAUCCCGGGAGGAGCUGUCGGCCAUCUUGGCCGCAGGGGCGGAGCCCGAAGUGCUGGUGUCAAUCAAGGCCCUGUGCAAGGCCAGGGAGGCGGAGCUCCAGAGGCCACACCCACACAGGCUGUACUGAUUGGCCACAGCCCAGAGGCGGUGCUUUGGGCGCUGGAGGUCCUGGCCAAUCAGAGCACAAGGUGGGUG